rnacentral:rRNA from 1 species
UACCAGCACCCCGAGUGGUCGGGACGAUUACUGGGCGUAAAGCGUGCGCAGGCGGUUUUGUAAGCCAGAUGUGAAAUCCCCGGGCUUAACCUGGGAAUGGCAUUUGGGACUGCAAGGCUGGAGUACGGCAGAGGAGACUGGAAUUCCUGGUGUAGCAGUGAAAUGCGUAGAGAUCAGGAGGAAUACCGAUGGCGAAGGCAGGUCUCUGGGCUGAUACUGACGCUCAUGCACGAAAGCGUGGGGAGCAAACAGG